CUCUCGCGCAUUUCCUCUCUCCACGUGGCUAUUUCUCUCUCUCUAUCUCAGAGAAACUUAACUGCAUAAUCUCGAAAGCCUCUGUUUCAUUCUCUACAUAUACAACUUUAGCUUAAAUCAUCUGAUGAUGACCCAUAGUAAUUCCAUCCUUAUUGACGACAGAAGUACCUGUGCGGUUUGAUUUUCUGGAUAAUCAAACAGAAGAUAACUGCACCAUCGUUUGAGCCUGCAAACUUGACAGAAUGUCCAAAUUGUGCGUAUAUGAGUUUGAACACAUAGCUUGCGACAGAUUCUUCCUGAGUCAUGAUGAUCAUAUGGUGCCCACUCCUGGUUCACCAAAGCUUGAUGACUGUUUCGUUCUGAAGGAAAACCUCAAUGCAAAUAUCUGUGGAUUAACAAGUAGUUGUAGCAAUACCAGCAAUAGAUCGUCUACCCGAUGUCGUGAUCAAGGAAGGGAACAGAAGGCUUUUUCAAUACCUAGGAGAAGAAAAGCAAUAACGGAAAAUGAUUCAUGGCCAGUAAACUCAUUGUUUUCUUCUGCCUGUGAUAGCAUCCCAGCCAAAAACUCAUCAAGUUUAGCUUUGGACAGUACCGAGUCAUGGAAUACCAAUAACACAUGCUCAGAUGGUAGGGGCUUCUGUGAAUAUGACACCUCUUUCUGUGACACAACUACCAUGGUUGAAAGCUCUUUCAGUUAUUUACCCAGCGAUAUCGAUAUAGAUCAGAACAGCAGAGAGCUUGAUUUCCUCAAAGAUGGUCCGAGCAGCGGUUCGAGGGAUUUCCUAGGUUGUGAUAGUUGGUCUGCAAUGAAGAACUUUGAAGAUAUUGAGACAAUGUUAAGUGAAAAAGAUGAAUUCAGUUGGUUACCAUCAGCAGACGACUCAGGAGCCUCUGGUGAUUUGCUUAAGUCCAGUGUUACUUUCACAUGUCCUGAGACGUAUACGACAGAAGAAAGCCACGACUCCUUAAGAAGCUCUUCAAUUAAUGAUACUUUCAUGAUAACACCAUCCAUCAUAUCUGAGGAAUUCCCUUUCCCAAUUCAAUCUGCCGCGGCUGAUAAAGAGGAUCGAUUUGUCCCUCUUGAACAGCUCAACAAGAAGAAGUCAUACUUUGGAAACAGUAGUUCUACUAACAUCAAUGAGCUACCAAAUGAAGUGCCAUUGCUUCCUGCUAGAAGCAUUUAUCAUCAUCCUUUCUCAUCUCCUCAAAGCUCUGAGUGUCCAAAUAAUGUUCGACUAGUACCACUACCCCAAGGUAAUUCUUUCAGCUCAUCCAAAUAUCCACCAAGCUCUCAUGACCCUCCUGGCGCGCGAGCUAUAGCUGUUCCUGAACAAGGCCAGGAGCGACAAGGCUGUGAAGGUAGUCGAUGUUCUGUCACCAGAAGCCUAAAAACUGGAAGUGAGAAAAUAUCCAGUCCCGACAGAAUCAGUAAAUAUUUUGAACAUGGUAAACGCAGAGGAGUUGCUCGAGCAGGUUUAUGUACCUCAAAUGUAAAAGAAAGCUCGACAGCUAGUUCAGGUACGAACAAUGUUUCGCAAGAAGCAGCCAGUUUUCUCCAGCUUCAGCUAGUUAUGGAACAGUUGGAUUUCAGAACGAAGUUGGGAAUAAGGGACAGCUUAUACCGUCUGGCUGAUAGCGCCGAUCGAAGAAAUACACGUACCAAUGAAGGAAAGCCAAAUAGCAAUGAAGGAACAAAAGAGCGUCGUGGUUGCAUGGAAGCAGAUAGAAAUAGCAUGGAUCGAUCAAUGGCGGACUUGCUGUUUCACAGAGCUUCCUACAACUCAUUCCCAGCAAACUUGUUUCAAGUGCCAUAGAAAUCGAUGGAUGGAUGGAUGGAUGUCCCACAACUACUUAGCAUCUACCUGCCUACAUUGCUUGUGAAUUUAGAUGGUGAACUGAAGAAGCUGUUUUUUUAUGGUGCUUCAUAGCCUCUACUGGUCCAAGAGGAGGAUGAGAACAAUGUAUACCUCGACGAUAAAUCAAUUCCAAUCCGAUAAAGCAUCCGAUGACAAUAUAUUAAUGUUAAUGUGGUCUAUGUGAAGUAAUGUGUUUAUGUGAAAAGUCUCCAUUAUUCUACUACUAAAUAUUAAUGUUAAUGUGGUCUAAGUAAAGUAGUGGGUCUAUAUGAAAAGUUUCUAAAAAGUAUUGCAUUCGAAUUUGACACUAAUGGUCGGCGUAUGUUCUUGCUGAGAAACUAGUAU